ACUGUUCGUCAGCUGGUAACGUUUCUCUCUCUCACUUCUUGUCUGUAAUAAUCCUGCUGUGGACACGUGUGAAGUAGAUGAAGUCACCAGGGUUUUCCAAAGCUACCGUAUUGUCUUUACCUUCCCACCAUGAGUAUGUAAGGGCUGUCACUGCCGUGACACUGCUCACCAACUCUUGCUGUGUCCUCUUCAUAGUAGCUGUUCUAGUAGAUGACAUAUAGGAUUUCAAUGCAGUCUUUUUCUUAAUGAUAGUGUCUUCUUGUGUCUUUAGAGAUAGUGCCCAGUUUUAAAUUGUUCUGUCUUCUAAGAGUCCUUUGCUAAUCGAUACCAAAUGUAUCAUUUACAAAAUCCCUCCUGUUCUAUAGGUGUCUUAAAUUUUAUGAUAUUGUAGUUUUUAUAACAAAAGGCUUUUUUAUUCAUACAUGUGCUUUAGAUGUCAGCUAAGAACUGUCUGUAAACAUUGUACAUGUUUCUCUUGACUUGCCGUUAGCCACUACUUGGUGUUGUAAAAUUAAUGUUUAACCUCCCCCCUUUUCCUUAUAGAAACCGCCAUCAUGAAGCCCUUUUCCAUUACCCGUGCCCCCAGCAUCCUGGGUAAGGUAAAGCUGUGACCACGCAUGCACACCGCAUGGAAGACUGCCUUACAGAGUUCUCCAGCAUGUCUUAGAGAUCUGGCUCCUGGAUGACCACUGCCUUGGACUGCCCACAGUGUGAAAUGCCUGCCUGCCCGUGGGCCUGAAAUCUAACUUAGGUUUACUUAGCUCAGCAUCAAGUUCUGUUUAAAAGAAACAUUGACAAUCACUCAAAUAAAGAUUAAUUUUGAGGACAGCCUCAAGUCUGAAGCAGCAUGGUUGACUCGGUACAUUUUCAAGAAACUUAGAAAUAAAUUGCUCCAAUUUCUGAUGGCAUCUAUUACUGUAUAGGAAUGCUUUGAGGACUGGUGUCAUGGUGGUGCAUGCUUUUAAUCCCAGCACUGGGGGGGCAGGCAGGCGGCUCUCUUGAGUUCCAGACUAGCCUGGUCUACAGGCCAAGUUAGUUCCAGGCAUAAUAAAACUGUCUAGAAGGAAGAAUGGAGAGAGAAGAAAGAGAAAUGGAACUGUAGGUCAGUUGAUUCGAUCCAGCUUCCAAUGGUGGUGUCUUCUUAUAAAAUACUAAGUUGGAAGCGGUACUUUUGUCUUUAAAGUUCAAAGGCAGUCUCGCUUUUGCAGUUGUGCGGUAGUUUUCUGUUUUCCACUAUGUUAUCUUAAUACUUAUAUGUUCUCUCAAGAA
rnacentral:lncRNA from 1 species